UGUAUAAAGAAUUUAGGUCACCCUACACUUUAUUGUAAGCCCAGUUAAUUAUGCAACCUAAUAUUAUACAAUAUGUAGAAGGGGGUCCCUGAUCCCUCUCUCUUUCAGUCAAGGGGUCCUUGGCUGAAAAAACGUUGAAGACCCCUGAUGUAGACAAACCAAAAUGAGUUCUUGUGUGUCUACUUAAUCAUUUGCAUGCUUUUGGUUGUUCCGUGUAAGCUCUUUUGCAUA